CACGAAUUAAGGCGAGCUAAUUAAUUGUAAAUAUUAGUUACUAAAUGUUGCAGAAUUGUAUAAAACUUUUAAUUAGGAGUGAUAGGCUUCUCACGUCUUAGGAUAACUUGAUGUUUAUGAAAUAUAUUAAGUAUAUAGUCAAUUAAAGAGUGCCAAGAUUCUUUAUAAGUACAAAUGUUAAUUAAUUCACUAUUCAAACUAUAACUAGUAGACGCCUUUUAAAGAAACAUAAAUCUUUUAAAGAUUGUAUAAUAUAAUAAACUAUUCUUAACCCAAUGAAACAUAGAUAAUGUUAUUAUAAGUAGUAAAUCAAUUAUUUGAAAUGAACUCGGCAAUAUUUUCUCCAACUGUUUAUCAAAAACAUAGCUGGUAGAAUUUAAUUAUUAGUAUUUUCUGCUCCAUGAGAAUUUAAAUAGCCGCAGUACCCUGACUGUGCUAAGGUAGCAUAAUCAAUUGGCUUGUAAUUUAAGUCUGGUAUGAAUGAAAUAAUGAGAGAAAAGCUGUAUAGUAAAUAAAAAAUAAAAUUAUUUUGUAAGUGAAAAUACUUACUGAAAAUUAUUAGACGAGAAGACCCUAGAAAUUUUUAAAGAUUGUCAAACACUUUUUUUGUUGGGGCAACAUUGUUAAAAGUAACUAACAGUAAAACACAAGAAAUUAUUUGAUAGAUUAAAUUACUCUAGGGAUAACAGCGUAAUGUAUAUACGUUUGCGACCUCGAUGUUGGAUUAGGAAAUAACAGCUUAGAA
rnacentral:rRNA from 1 species